CUUCCUUCCUUUCUGCAUGAUUUGCAUUGUCAGCUACCAGAGGAAGACAAGAGCUGGUAGCAGCAGGCUUUUUAUGUUAGUGUGAGACACUAACACGCACCCAGCUGACAUGUUUGAAGCUAAACCUGCAUCCAGAUCGAUUACUCAGCUGCCUGCACCCAGGUGAAAUAAACAGCCUUGUUGCUCACACAAAGCCGGUUUGGUGGUCUCUUCACAUGGACCCAUGUGACAUUCGGUGCCGUGACUCAGAUUGAGGGACCUCCCUUGGGAGAUCAAUCCCCUGUCCUCCUGUUCUUUGCUCCGUGAGAAAGAUCCACCUACAACCUCGGGUCUUCCGUCCGGCUUACAGUUUCAUUUCGCGAUUAGCCCUCCCCCAGCUGCCUAACAAUUUCCUCUUGAAGAGGUGGCUGGAGCUAAAGGCAUAGUCAAGUUUAACGCUCCUUUUUCUUUAUCCGACCUCUCCCAAAUGAGUUAGUGUUUAGGCUCUUUUUUAUCAAAUAUAAAAACCCAGCCCAGUUCAUGGCUCAUUUGGCAGCAACCCUGAGAAACUUUACAACCCUAGACCCUGAAAGGACCCCACUGGAAAUCGGACUGUCCAACUCACCUGGCAGCCACUCCCAGAGCCCCUGGAACCCUGGCCCAAGGCUCUCUGACUGACUCCUUCCCAGAUCUUCUCGGCUUAGUGGCUGAAGACUGAUGCUGCCUGGUCAUCUCAGAAGCCUCCUGGACCAUCACAGAUGCUUCGGGUAACUCUUACAGUAGAGGGUAAGUAGGUCCCCUUCUUAAUCAAUAUGGAGGCUACCAACUCCACAUUACCUUCUUUUCAAAGGCCUGUUUCAUUUGCCUCCAUAACUGUUGUAGGUAUUGACGGCCAGGCUUCUAAACCUCUUAAAACUCUCCAGCUCUGAUGCCAACUUGGACAACAUUUUUUUUAUGCACUCCUUUUUAGUUAUCCCCACCUUAACUGAGUGAUUAACCUUGUGAAAUUCCUUCUCCUGGCUCAGAAGCUCCCCCACUGAGCACCUUGUGACCCCCGCCCCUGCCUGCAAGAGAAAAAUCCCCUUUGACUGUAAUUUUCCACUACCCACCCGAAUCCUAUAAAACAGCCCCACCCCUAUCUCCCUUCACUGACUCAUUUUUCGGACUCAGCUUGCCUGCACCCACAUGAAAUAAACAGCCUUGUUGCUCACACAAAGCAUGUUUGGUGGUCUCUUCACAUGGACGUGCAUGACAUUUGCUACUGUGAUUAAUAUUUCUGACUUUUCCACCUAAUAAAUUUCUUUUUAUAUGUCAAUGUUCAGAUACCAAAUUUUGAGUAUGUAGAAAAAACUCAAGUGUUUUUCCUCUACUCUCA
rnacentral:lncRNA from 1 species